rnacentral:lncRNA from 1 species
UUUCUUCAAGGUUUUUAUGUUCGUUCUAGUUGUAGAGAGUAACCAUUUUUAGUUUGGUCCUUGUUUUCUCUUUGUAGGAAAAAAUAUUUUUUCAAUGUUGGAUGAUUCCGACUUCAUUUCUGGUGGUUCAACUAAGCUUUUAGGGUCUGAUAUUGUAGCAAUAUAAUUUAAUUUAAUUUUUUUAUUGUCAGUAAAUUGGACGGAGAUGAUAUCUUUCUCAAGCUUAUUCUUAAUUCAAGUGUUCUCGAUUGAAUUUUGGUUUGUGAUUUUUGUUUCUUGUACUUUGUCUUGAAGAUUAAUCUUUGUGAUUUCUCGGUAGUAGUUUGGUCAUAUUUUUAGUUUGUUUUUCCAUGUUUGGGAUCUUGUUUCUCCAAUUUUUGGAGCUUUGUUUUCGGUGGUUUGAAAUUUGUUGGAUUGAAAUU